rnacentral:rRNA from 1 species
UACGUAGGUUGCGAGCGUUAUUCGGAUUUACUGGGCGUAAAGAGCACCGAGGUGGCUUCUUAAGUUGGAUGUCAAAUCUCCUGGCUUAACUGGGAGGCGCCAUUCAAAACUGAGGAGCUUGAGGUCAGCAGGGGAAGGUGGAAUUCCCGGUGUAGUGGUGGAAUGCGUAGAGAUCGGGAGGAACACCAGUGGCGAAAGCGACCUUCUGGGCUGCACCUGACACUCUAGUGCGAAAGCGUGGGGAGCAAACAGG